ACAACCGAUUCCCAGAUUAGCUCCACCUUUCCUUUAAGAACUAUACCAAGUUUUCCGCCGUUAGAUCUACACUUUUGAUUAUUUUCAUCCGUUAUAUCAUAUUAUUCAACCAACCACCCACUCAAUCCUAGGAGGUUCACAUCAUCCUAACCGCACAUCUCUUAAUCCAACGGCCGAAAACUUGGUAGCACUAAUGACUUAGUGCUAUUAAUAGCAUAAUAGCCUAGUUCUUAUUUUCUAUUCAAAAAUAUAUUUUCCUAGAAAUGUUGAUCGUCAUCUUUUUCAUUUCUAUCACCACAAAUAAUAUAAGAGGGAUAAAAAUAUCAGUUUAACUCAUUCAUUGAGCAUGAUUGAAUAUUUCAUUUAUAAUUAACAAUAAAAAUAUUUUUUGAAAAUAUUAUAACUUUUAUAAAAAUAAUAUAAAAAAUUAAAGUUUAUAAAAAUAUAUUUAUUAUUCGAUAUAUUUAAAGAAAGCUGUAUUCAAUUAACAUCUAUUUUUAUAACUGUAUCCAAAUAAAAAGCUCAUAAAAAUUAAUCUAAUCAUCCUUUAUAUCUUAAUUUAUAUUUAUUUUU
rnacentral:lncRNA from 1 species